rfam:Erinaceus europaeus unplaced genomic scaffold scaffold00067, whole genome shotgun sequence
GGCUACGGCCAUACCACACUGAACAUGCCUGAUCUCAUCUGAUCUCGGGAGCUAAGCAGGGUCGGGCCUGGUUAGUACCUGGAUGGGAGAGCGACAGACAGAGAGACACCUACAGCACUGCUUCAU